rnacentral:rRNA from 1 species
AGUGAACGCUGGCGGUAGGCCUAACACAUGCAAGUCGAACGGCAGCACAGUAAGAGCUUGCUCUUUCGGGUGGCGAGUGGCGGACGGGUGAGGAAUACAUCGGAAUCUACUUUUUCGUGGGGGAUAACGUAGGGAAACUUACGCUAAUACCGCAUACGACCUACGGGUGAAAGCAGGGGAUCUUCGGACCUUGCGCGAUUGAAUGAGCCGAUGUCGGAUUAGCUAGUUGGCGGGGUAAAGGCCCACCAAGGCGACGAUCCGUAGCUGGUCUGAGAGGAUGAUCAGCCACACUGGAACUGAGACACGGUCCAGACUCCUACGGGAGGCAGCAGUGGGGAAUAUUGGACAAUGGGCGCAAGCCUGAUCCAGCCAUACCGCGUGGGUGAAGAAGGCCUUCGGGUUGUAAAGCCCUUUUGUUGGGAAAGAAAAGCAGCAGGUUAAUACCCCGCUGUUCUGGCGGUACCCAAAGAAUAAGCACCGGCUAACUUCGUG